CGCGGCCUAUCAGCUUGUUGGUGAGGUAAUGGCUCACCAAGGCACCGACGGGUAGCUGGUCUGAGAGGACGAUCAGCCACACUGGAACUGAGACACGGUCCAGACUCCUACGGGAGGCAGCAGCAGGGAAUCUUGCGCAAUGGGCGAAAGCCUGACGCAGCGACGCCGCGUGGGGGAUGAAGGCCUUCGGGUUGUAAACCCCUUUCAGGAGGGAAGAAAAUGACGGUACCUCCAGAAGAAGCCCCGGCCAACUACGUGCCAGCAGCCGCGGUAAUACGUAGGGGACAAGCGUUGUCCGGAUUCAUUGGGCGUAAAGAGCUCGUAGGCGGUUCAGUAAGUUGGGUGUGAAAGCUCCGGGCUCAACCCGGAGAGGCCACUCAAUACUGCUGUGACUAGAGUCCAGUAGAGGAGCGUGGAACUCCUGGUGUAGCGGUGAAAUGCGCAGAUAUCAGGAAGAACACCGGCAGCGAAGGCGGCGCUCUGGGCUGGUACUGACGCUGAGGAGCGAAAGCAUGGGUAGCAAACAGGAUUAGAUACCCUGGUAGUCCAUGCCGGAAACGUUGGGCACUAGGUGUGGGGAGGAAUCAACCCUCUCCGUGCCGUAGCUAACGCAUUAAGUACCCCGCCUGGGGAGUACGG
rnacentral:rRNA from 1 species